UGGGGAAUUGUUCGCAAUGGGCGCAAGCCUGACGACGCAACGCCGCGUGGAGGAUGAAGACCUUCGGGUCGUAAACUCCUUUCGAUCGAGACGAACGGCCUCCGGGUGAACAAUCCGGAGGAGUGACGGUACCGAGAGAAGAAGCCCCGGCUAACUCCGUGCCAGCAGCCGCGGUAAUACGGGGGGGGCAAGCGUUGUUCGGAAUUACUGGGCGUAAAGGGCUCGUAGGCGGCCAACUAAGUCGGACGUGAAAUCCCUCGGCUUAACCGGGGAACUGCGUCCGAUACUGGAUGGCUUGAGUUUGGGAGAGGGAUGCGGAAUUCCAGGUGUAGCGGUGAAAUGCGUAGAUAUCUGGAGGAACACCGGUGGCGAAGGCGGCAUCCUGGACCAACACUGACGCUGAGGAGCGAAAGCCAGGGGAGCAAACGGGAUUAGAUACCCCCGUAGUCC
rnacentral:rRNA from 1 species